UCUCAGUGAGUUCGAGAGUUUGUUUGAUUGUUAGGAUGAGUGUACGUAGUAGCUUCAGGUUAGAAGCCGAGAUGAAGAUGGAGUCAAUUACUUCAUCCUAUCGAAUCGAUGAAUUACCAGAGGGUCGUGAAUUUCCAUGCGAUUUUCUCUCCCGUACUAAGAGGAAACAGACCCUUGUGAUCAUGCUCCAUAGGGGUCAUGUUGCAGCUAGAUAGUGACUCAUGUCCAACUACAGUUACUCCUAGGAGAAGUUGGAUUCGAGAUGUUGGAUGUGAGCAGGGUGGAGACUUGUCAUCAGUGAGUAUGUUUCAUGGGACAUCGGGUUUGAACUUUGAAGUAGUCCUUCUCCUUUGAUUCCAAUAUAUAACUCCAUCGACGCACACGCUAGAAUUACUCCCAGCAAAAGAAUGGGUACUGUACUCAUGUCGAAAGGGAGAGCAUCCAUGAACUUGUUGUUAUCUAUAGGCUUUCAUGAGUUAGGAGUUGAACCCAUU